AUUGAACGCUGGCGGCAUGCCUUACACAUGCAAGUCGAACGGUAACGGGCCUUCGGGUGCCGACGAGUGGCGAACGGGUGAGUAAUACAUCGGAACGUGCCCGAUCGUGGGGGAUAACGAGGCGAAAGCUUUGCUAAUACCGCAUACGAUCUACGGAUGAAAGCAGGGGACCGCAAGGCCUUGCGCGGACGGAGCGGCCGAUGGCAGAUAGGUAGUUGGUGGGAUAAAAGCUUACCAAGCCGACGAUCUGUAGCUGGUCUGAGAGGAUGAUCAGCCACACUGGGACUGAGACACGGCCCAGACUCCUACGGGAGGCAGCAGUGGGGAAUUUUGGACAAUGGGCGCAAGCCUGAUCCAGCCAUGCCGCGUGCAGGAUGAAGGCCUUCGGGUUGUAAACUGCUUUUGUACGGAACGAAAAGCCUUCUUUUAAUACAGGAGGGUCAUGACGGUACCGUAAGAAUAAGCACCGGCUAACUACGUG
rnacentral:rRNA from 1 species